rnacentral:rRNA from 2 species
UGAGGAAUAUUGGUCAAUGGACGAGAGUCUGAACCAGCCAAGUAGCGUGAAGGAUGACUGCCCUAUGGGUUGUAAACUUCUUUUAUAAGGGAAUAAAGUGAGGGACGUGUCCCUUUUUGUAUGUACCUUAUGAAUAAGGAUCGGCUAACUCCGUGCCAGCAGCCGCGGUAAUACGGAGGAUCCAAGCGUUAUCCGGAUUUAUUGGGUUUAAAGGGAGCGUAGGUUGACAUAUAAGUCAGCUGUGAAAGUUUACGGCUCAACCGUGAAAUUGCAGUUGAUACUGUAUGUCUUGAGUGUACAAGAGGUGGGCGGAAUUCGUGGUGUAGCGGUGAAAUGCUUAGAUAUCACGAAGAACUCCAAUUGCGAAGGCAGCUCACUGGGGUACAACUGACACUGAGGCUCGAAAGUGUGGGUAUCAAACA